rnacentral:rRNA from 1 species
AUUGAACGCUAGCGGCAUGCCUUACACAUGCAAGUCGAACGGAGUGGCGAACGGGUGAGUAUUGUAUCGGAACGUGCCCAGUAGCGGGGGAUAACUACGCGGAAGGGUAACUAAUACCGCUUCCUAUUGGAGCGGCAGAUAUCGGAUUAGCGAGGUGGUGGUGUAAAGGCCCACCAAGGCGACGGUCCGUAGCUGGUUGGAGAGGACGACCAGCCACACUGGGACUGAGAAACGGCCCAGACUCCGACGGGAGGCAGCAGUGGGGAAUUUGGGACAAUGGGGGAAACCCUGAUCCAGCAAUCCCGCGUGUGUGAAGAAGGCCUGCGGGUUGUAAAGCACUUUUGGCAGGAAAGCGGUACCUACAGAAUAAGCACCGGCUAACUACGUGCCAGCAGCCGCGGUAAUUC